AGUCGAACGGGAUUACUUUUGUAGCAAUACAGAAGUAAUUCAGUGGCGAACGGGUGCGUAACACGUGGACAAUCUGCCGAGAAGUGGGGGAUAGCUCGCCGAAAGGCGAAUUAAUACCGCAUGUGAUGGGAGACGACAUCGUCUUGAAAUCAAAGCCGGGGUUAAACCUGGCGCUUUUUGAGGAGUCCGCGGCCUAUCAGCUAGUUGGUGAGGUAACGGCUCACCAAGGCAUUGACGGGUAGCUGGUCUGAGAGGACGACCAGUCACACUGGAACUGAGACACGGUCCAGACACCUACGGGUGGCAGCAGUCGAGAAUUUUUCUCAAUGGGGGCAACCCUGAAGGAGCGACGCCGCGUGGAGGAUGAAGGUCUUCGGGUUGUAAACUCCUGUCAUUUGGGAACAAGGUGCACGUAUUUACUGUACGUGUAUUGAUAGUACCAGAAGAGGAAGAGACGGCUAACUCUGUGCCAGCAGCCGCGGUAAUACAGAGGUCUCAAGCGUUGUUCGGAUUCAUUGGGCGUAAAGGGUGCGUAGGUGGCGCCGUAAGUCAGGUGUGAAAUCUCGGGGCUUAACCCCGAAACUGCAUUUGAUACUGCGGUGCUUGAGGACUGGAGAGGAGACUGGAAUUUACGGUGUAGCAGUGAAAUGCGUAGAGAUCGUAAGGAAGACCAGUGGCGAAGGCGGGUCUCUGGACAGUUCCUGACACUGAGGCACGAAGGCCAGGGGAGCAAACGGGAUUAGAUACCCCGGUAGUCCUGGCAGUAAACGGUGCACGUUUGGUGUGGGGGGAUUCGACCCCUUCUGCGCCGGAGCUAACGCGUUAAACGUG
rnacentral:rRNA from 1 species